GUUGUGUAUAGAGGCAAAAUUGCAAAAAUUGUGUCACUCAUGGAGCUAAUAGGAAACCUUUGAGCAGCUUUCAGUUUGUUGCAUAUCAUUUUGUUUGCUGGUACUAAUAACCAGCCAAUAGCUAGAACUGCCCUGUAUUGUAAGCCUGUUCUCAAUAUCAGCAGCAACUGCUGUGAAUCUUAGAUCAUGCAGAGUCAGGUCUGAACUCAGAGCAAAGCAACAAGUACGGUUUGUAUUCCUUAUUCAAAAACAAACAUUUUACACUAGCUUGUACGGAUAAGUCAGUAUGCUGGUGUUUUAUUUCUCUGAGGGAUUUUAUUGUAGUUCGAGUUUAUCUGUUAACAGCAUCUUAUGACAGCCUUUGUGCUAAAAGAUGUGUCAUAAAAGUCUAGAUGUGGCCCUGCUUGCAUCUGUAGAUUCAAUAAAACCCAAGGAGUAACUGCAUUUUGACUGAGCCCAUUGAUUCAUGUGGCUGCAUGACCCCGAGGAAUCAAGGAUCUCUUGGAUUUACACAAGAGUGUUUUGUGUGUACACACUGUUUGCAUUUGUUAUCAUGGGGGGAAAUUGAUUUUUCCCUAUACCUUUCCUUGACUGCUGCCUGAACAAACAGCACCUGUCUGCUGUAUGCUGCUAUCACAGAUGAUGGAGUUCUGCGCUGUAUUGAUUCGGGCAGUACUUCUGGACUUCACCUUUAUCUUCAUCUCAGGAGAAAGUUUUGAACAGCAUCCCCCCGGGUCACAGUGAUGAUGGCAGGGUGCCAAAGGGAAGACAGCGCCUGUGGUGGAGGAGAGCAGGGAGGAAGGAAAGAAGACUCAGAGCUGGCAUAAUCACCAGGGGCAUUGAGCUAAUGAACACACCGCAGGAGCAAUAACAAUAACAACAGGAGGGAUCAGCUUCUCAACUCCUAACAGGAGGGAAGAGGACCUACUGCACAACUGUCAUUAUGGUCUUUUUCAACAACAGCAGAAACAACAGGAGAGCUGAGCUCCAAUACCAGGCAGGAGGGAAGAGAAUAUAUUCUGUAUAACUGUCGUUAAUUCAUAUUUAGAUGUUAAUUGUUUAA